ensembl:lncRNA
GGCUGGCCCCGGGCUGAUCGGCUGGGGCUGGUAGGUUGGCUCGGGCUGUGGCUGGGUGGUUCCUCCCUCCUUCCCGCCCGGAGGCGGGCAGUGCUGACGGCUCGUACUGACGCAGGCCCCUGCGUGUGGGCGGCUGCCUGAUCCAGGGUCAAGCACCUCGGCUUAUCCACCAUCUCUGCACUCCAGGGCAGCUCUGUCUCCAGUCCCACCACGCAAGACUUGCCUUCCUUGACAUCUGACAACAUUCAUGUCACCCCAUAAUUCAUAAGGAUCAUCCCAUUCAUCAUCCUAAAGCCUGGAGGGGCCGUUGUGAGAAACAAGCAAGAUGUGCAUGUCCAGUGAGGAGCAAGGGCCCUGCCCCUUGUCAGGGCUCGAUUCCCCGCGAAGCAUCUGAAAGAGCACAGGUCCAGGAGCUGUGGUUGGGGGAGCGUGUGCUGAAUACCAAGAAGGAGCCACACGGCAUCCGGUGCCUGGCACCCAGUCCCUCUAGC